GCCUUCGUGGUGCAGUGGUCUGCAUGCUGGGCCUCUAUUUCAGCGGUCCGUGGUUCGAUUCCCGGAGAAGGCA
rnacentral:tRNA from 1 species